rnacentral:rRNA from 1 species
GAUGAACGCUGGCGGCGUGCCUAAUACAUGCAAGUCGAGCGAACAGACGCGGCGCUUGCUCCUCUCACGUUAGCCGCGGACGGGUGUGUAACACGUGGAUAACCUACCUAUAAGACUGAGAUAACUUCGGGACACCGGCGCUAAUACCGGAUAAUAUAUUGCACCGCAUGGUUCAAUAGUGAAAGACGGUUUUGCUGUCACUUAUAGAUGGAUACGCGCGGCAUUAGCUAGUUGGUAAGGUAACGGCUUACCAAGGCAACGAUGCGUAGCCGACCGGAGAGGGGGAUCGGCCACACGGGAGCUGAAACGCGGUCCUGAGGCCUACGGGAGGCAGCAGUAGGGAAUCUUCCGCAAUAGGGGAAAGCCUGACGGAGCAACGCGGCGUCAGAGAUGAAGGUCUUCGGAUCGUAAAACUCUGUUAUGAGGGAAGAACAAAUGUGUAAGUAACUAUGCACGUCGUGACGGUACCGGAUCAGGAAGCCCCGGCUAACUACGUG